UAACAAUCAUACAUACCUACCACAACUUUACUCUUUUCUCUCUUCUCUUUCUUCUAGAAUUGUCAUCUUCUCACCGGAUUUUCAACAUUGAAUCAAGAUCAAAGAUCCGCCUAUAUAUCUUGAAGAUCAGACCAUAAAUCUUGAAGUUUUCUAUUUGCAAUUGAGGUUUUGUUUUGAUCAAAGUUGGGUUAUGCAAGAAUCUUAAUACAAUGUUGGGUAGAAGAUGCUGGAGAAUGAACUUAAGCGUAAUUUGGAUGCCGUUUAUGAUGUGGAUUUAUGUUCUUCUCAGACUUCCACUAAACCGCGUAUGGGUGAUUGUGAGAACAAUGAAGAUCCGCCUAUAUAUCUUGAAGAUCAGACCAUAAAUCUUGAAGUUAAUGAUUUUGGUUGUUGUAUUUUUUUCAUGUGAUUCCUUACAUCCGUUAUAACAAUCUGAAUCCCACCAUUCGUCAAGCAACAGAGUUAUAGAUAUUUAUUUCUGAACCGAGUCUGUCCUCCAUAGUUUUUUCUGAUGUGAAGAGCUUCUUUCAGACUCUUUCCCCUACAAGGAACUAUUGAAUAGGUUCCUAUGAGAAGUUGAAGAAAAGUUAUGGAUAAUGAAAACAAUGCUCCUUCGUUAUUAAAGUCGAUUGAGGACUAUGAUCCUAUAUUUUUCGAAUUGUUCGUCGAC